rnacentral:tRNA from 1 species
GUUCUUAUAGUUGAAAAAUUGCAACGGUGGUUUUUCAGGCCACAGGUCUUGGAGAGAAACCAAGUGAGAAUA